GAUGAAGAACGUAGCGAAAUGCGAUAAGUAGUGUGAAUUGCAGAAUUCAGUGAAUCAUCGAAUCUUUGAACGCACAUUGCGCCCCCUGGUAUUCCGGGGGCAUGCCUGUUCGAGCGUCAUUACAACCCUCAAGCUCUGCUUGGUAUUGGGCCCCGCCAGUUCUGGCGGGCCCUAAAGUCAGUGGCGGUGCCUUCCGGCUCCGAGCGUAGUAAUUCUUCUCGCUCUGGAGACCCGGUUGUGUGCUUGCCAACAACCCCCAAUUUUUUAAGGUUGACCUCGGAUCAGGUAGGGAUACCCGCUGAACUUAAGCAUAUCAAUAAGCGGAGGA
rnacentral:misc_RNA from 1 species